rnacentral:rRNA from 1 species
UACGGGGGGGGCAAGCGUUGUUCGGAAUUACUGGGCGUAAAGGGUUCGUAGGUGGCUUGCUAAGUCAGACGUGAAAUCCCUCAGCUUAACUGGGGAACUGCGUCUGAGACUGGUGAGCUUGAGUGCAGGAGAGGACGCGGAAUUCCAGGUGUAGCGGUGAAAUGCGUAGAUAUCUGGAGGAACACCCGUGGCGAAGGCGGUUCUCUGGGACGGUACUGACGCUGAGACGCGAAAGCGUGGGGAGCGAACAGG